UAUCACUUCUGGAUGGACCCGCGGCGCAUUAGCUAGUUGGUGAGGUAACGGCUCACCAAGGCGAUGAUGCGUAGCCGACCUGAGAGGGUAAUCGGCCACAUUGGGACUGAGACACGGCCCAGACUCCUACGGGAGGCAGCAGUAGGGAAUCUUCCACAAUGGACGCAAGUCUGAUGGAGCAACGCCGCGUGAGUGAAGAAGGGUUUCGGCUCGUAAAGCUCUGUUGUUAAAGAAGAACGUGGGUGAGAGUAACUGUUCACCCAGUGACGGUAUUUAACCAGAAAGCCACGGCUAACUACGUGCCAGCAGCCGCGGUAAUACGUAGGUGGCAAGCGUUAUCCGGAUUUAUUGGGCGUAAAGCGAGCGCAGGCGGUCUUUUAAGUCUAAUGUGAAAGCCUUCGGCUCAACCGAAGAAGUGCAUUGGAAACUGGGAGACUUGAGUGCAGAAGAGGACAGUGGAACUCCAUGUGUAGCGGUGAAAUGCGUAGAUAUAUGGAAGAACACCAGUGGCGAAG
rnacentral:rRNA from 1 species